rnacentral:rRNA from 1 species
AGAGUUUGAUCAUGGCUCAGGAUGAACGCUGGCGGCGUGCCUAAUACAUGCAAGUCGAGCGGUAACACUUUGGGUGACGAGCGGCGGACGGCUGAGUAACACGUAGGAACGUACCCCAAACUGAGGGAUAAGCACCGGAAACGGUGUCUAAUACCGCAUGUGCUCUUCGGAGUAAAGCUUCGGCGGUUUGGGAACGGCCUGCGCAUGAUUAGCUUGUUGGUGAGGUAAAAGCUCACCAAGGCGACGAUCAUUAGCUGGUCUGAGAGGAUGAUCAGCCAGACUGGGACUGAGAACGGCCCAGACUCCUACGGGAGGCAGCAGUAGGGAAUUUUCCACAAUGGACGAAAGUCUGAUGGAGCAACGCCGCGUGCAGGAUGAAGGCCUUCGGGUCGUAAACUGCUUUUAUCUGUGACGAUUAUGACGGUAGCAGAUGAAUAAGGAUCGGCUAACUCCGUGCCAGCAGCCGCGGUCAUACGGAGGAUCCAAGCGUUAUCCGGAAUUACUGGGCGUAAAGAGUUGCGUAGGUGGCACUGUAAGUUGGUAGUGAAAGCGUUCGGCUCAACCGGAUACACAUUAUCAAAACUGCAGAGCUAGAGGAUGAGAGAGGUACCUGGAAUUCCUAGUGUAGGAGUGAAAUCCGUAGAUAUUAGGAGGAACACCGAUGGCGUAGGCAGGGUACUGGCUCAUUCCUGACACUAAGGCACGAAAGCGUGGGGAGCGAACGGGAUUAGAUACCCCAGUAGUCC